rnacentral:rRNA from 1 species
AUAUCAGUAAGCGGGGAAAAGAAAACAAUCGUGAUUCCCUUAGUAGCUGCGAGCGAAACGGGAAAAGCUCAAAACCGAAUCUGAUGGUUUUAAAUAACUGUCCGAAUUGUGGUUUAUGGACGGACCCUAGGGUUACCGCGACGCUUUAAUGCUGUUGGAAUACAGGGCCAUAGAGGGUGAUAGCCCCGUAAAGGUGUCGGCGGUGGUUCAAAAGAGUCCGCUCCCAGAGUCACACUGUUUGAGAGUACAGUGUAAAGUGGCAGGUGAGUACCUGUUAAAGCUAAAUAUUCGUCGGAGACCGAUAGCGCACAAGUA